UAAUAAGUGUUUUAUGGCACUUUUUAAAUCCAUAUCCACCUUGUGUGCAAUGUCAGUCGAUCUUCUUCAUGGAGAUCGACCAAACAUCAGCCUUUAUUUUUAACUCUUUGUCUGAAAAAUAUUAUGAAUAAACAAUUCAAAAUA
rnacentral:misc_RNA from 1 species